rnacentral:rRNA from 1 species
UACGUAGGGGGCUAGCGUUGUCCGGAAUCAUUGGGCGUAAAGCGCGUGUAGGCGGCCCGGUAAGUCCGCUGUGAAAGUCGGGGGCUCAACCCUCGAAAGCCGGUGGAUACUGUCGGGCUCGAGUGCGGAAGAGGCGAGUGGAAUUCCUGGUGUAUCGGUGAAAUGCGCAGAUAUCAGGAGGAACACCGAUUGCGAAGGCAGCUCGCUGGGACGUUACUGACGCUGAGACGCGAAAGCGUGGGGAGCAAGCAGG